rnacentral:snoRNA from 1 species
GAAUCAAAAAUGCACGGAAACGAUGCCACAGUUAGCUUAGUCUGUCUUCUAACAGCUGCUAAUUGCCAAUAUUCCAUUUCCUAUUUAUAGGAAGUUAAUAAAAUGGAAUAUGAGUUUCCCAGAUUAACUUAUGAAAUGACUGGAUUUUAGGAAGUUCGCGGUCCGUGAUUCCUUCUGGAACGAUAGACCGGGAAUGUCGAAGAAAGGCUACAUUU